GCUCCCGUGGCCUAAUGGCUAAGGCGUCUGACUUCUAUGUGUGGUCUUUCCAACGGUCCGAUUGGAGGAGACCAUGCCGGUUGCUCAUCAGAAGAUUGCCAGUUCGAUCCUGGCCGGGAGCU
rfam:Fusarium verticillioides 7600 chromosome 10, whole genome shotgun sequence.